GGUUAAGUUAGAAAGGGCGCACGGUGGAUGCCUUGGCACUAGGAGCCGAUGAAGGACGGGACGAACACCGAUAUGCUUCGGGGAGCUGUAAGCAAGCUUUGAUCCGGAGAUUUCCGAAUGGGGAAACCCACCACUCGUAAUGGAGUGGUAUCCAUAUCUGAAUACAUAGGAUAUGAGAAGGCAGACCCGGGGAACUGAAACAUCUAAGUACCCGGAGGAAGAGAAAGCAAAUGCGAUUCCCUGAGUAGCGGCGAGCGAAACGGGACCAGCCCAAACCAAGAGGCUUGCCUCUUGGGGUUGUAGGACACUCUGUACGGAGUUACAAAGGAACGAGGUAGAUGAAGAGGUCUGGAAAGGCCCGCCAUAGGAGGUAACAGCCCUGUAGUCAAAACUUCGUUCUCUCCUGAGUGGAUCCUGAGUACGGCGGAACACGUGAAAUUCCGUCGGAAUCCGGGAGGACCAUCUCCCAAGGCUAAAUACUCCCUAGUGACCGAUAGUGAACCAGUACCGUGAGGGAAAGGUGAAAAGCACCCCGGAAGGGGAGUGAAAGAGAUCCUGAAACCGUGUGCCUACAAGUAGUCAGAGCCCGUUAACGGGUGAUGGCGUGCCUUUUGUAGAAUGAACCGGCGAGUUACGAUCCCGUGCAAGGUUAAGCAGAAGAUGCGGAGCCGCAGCGAAAGCGAGUCUGAAUAGGGCGAAUUGAGUACGUGGUCGUAGACCCGAAACCAGGUGAUCUACCCAUGUCCAGGGUGAAGUUCAGGUAACACUGAAUGGAGGCCCGAACCCACGCACGUUGAAAAGUGCGGGGAUGAGGUGUGGGUAGGGGUGAAAUGCCAAUCGAACCUGGAGAUAGCUGGUUCUCUCCGAAAUAGCUUUAGGGCUAGCCUCAAGGUAAGAGUCUCGGAGGUAGAGCACUGAUUGGACUAGGGGCCCCUACCGGGUUACCGAAUUCAGUCAAACUCCGAAUGCCGAUGACUUAUCCUUGGGAGUCAGACUGCGAGUGAUAAGAUCCGUAGUCGAAAGGGAAACAGCCCAGACCGCCAGCUAAGGUCCCAAAGUAUACGUUAAGUGGAAAAGGAUGUGGAGUUGCUUAGACAACCAGGAUGUUGGCUUAGAAGCAGCCACCAUUUAAAGAGUGCGUAAUAGCUCACUGGUCGAGUGACUCUGCGCCGAAAAUGUACCGGGGCUAAACGUAUCACCGAAGCUGCGGACUGUUCUUCGAACAGUGGUAGGAGAGCGUUCUAAGGGCUGUGAAGCAAGACCGGAAGGACUUGUGGAGCGCUUAGAAGUGAGAAUGCCGGUAUGAGUAGCGAAAGAGGGGUGAGAAUCCCCUCCACCGAAUGCCUAAGGUUUCCUGAGGAAGGCUCGUCCGCUCAGGGUUAGUCGGGACCUAAGCCGAGGCCGAAAGGCGUAGGCGAUGGAUAACAGGUUGAUAUUCCUGUACCACCUCCUCACCAUUUGAGCAAUGGGGGGACGCAGGAGGAUAGGGUAAGCGCGGUAUUGGAUAUCCGCGUCCAAGCAGUUAGGCUGGGAAAUAGGCAAAUCCGUUUCCCGUGAAGGCUGAGCUGUGAUGGCGAGCGAAUUAUAGUAGCGAAGUUCCUGAUUCCACACUGCCAAGAAAAGCCUCUAGCGAGGUGAGAGGUGCCCGUACCGCAAACCGACACAGGUAGGCGAGGAGAGAAUCCUAAGGUGAUCGAGAGAACUCUCGUUAAGGAACUCGGCAAAAUGACCCCGUAACUUCGGGAGAAGGGGUGCUCUGUUAGGGUGCAAGCCCGAGAGAGCCGCAGUGAAUAGGCCCAGGCGACUGUUUAGCAAAAACACAGGUCUCUGCGAAGCCGUAAGGCGAAGUAUAGGGGCUGACGCCUGCCCGGUGCUGGAAGGUUAAGAGGAGCGCUUAGCGUAAGCGAAGGUGCGAAUUGAAGCCCCAGUAAACGGCGGCCGUAACUAUAACGGUCCUAAGGUAGCGAAAUUCCUUGUCGGGUAAGUUCCGACCCGCACGAAAGGCGCAACGAUCUGGGCACUGUCUCAACGAGAGACUCGGUGAAAUUAUAGUACCUGUGAAGAUGCAGGUUACCCGCGACAGGACGGAAAGACCCCGUGGAGCUUUACUGCAGCCUGAUAUUGAAUGUUGGUACAGCUUGUACAGGAUAGGUAGGAGCCUUGGAAACCGGAGCGCCAGCUUCGGUGGAGGCAUCGGUGGGAUACUACCCUGGCUGUAUUGACCUUCUAACCCGCCGCCCUUAUCGGGCGGGGAGACAGUGUCAGGUGGGCAGUUUGACUGGGGCGGUCGCCUCCUAAAAGGUAACGGAGGCGCCCAAAGGUUCCCUCAGAAUGGUUGGAAAUCAUUCGCAGAGUGUAAAGGCACAAGGGAGCUUGACUGCAAGACCUACAAGUCGAGCAGGGACGAAAGUCGGGCUUAGUGAUCCGGUGGUUCCGCAUGGAAGGGCCAUCGCUCAACGGAUAAAAGCUACCCCGGGGAUAACAGGCUUAUCUCCCCCAAGAGUCCACAUCGACGGGGAGGUUUGGCACCUCGAUGUCGGCUCAUCGCAUCCUGGGGCUGUAGUCGGUCCCAAGGGUUGGGCUGUUCGCCCAUUAAAGCGGUACGCGAGCUGGGUUCAGAACGUCGUGAGACAGUUCGGUCCCUAUCCGUCGCGGGCGCAGGAAAUUUGAGAGGAGCUGUCCUUAGUACGAGAGGACCGGGAUGGACGCACCGCUGGUGUACCAGUUGUUCUGCCAAGGGCAUCGCUGGGUAGCUAUGUGCGGACGGGAUAAGUGCUGAAAGCAUCUAAGCAUGAAGCCCCCCUCAAGAUGAGAUUUCCCAUUCCGCAAGGAAGUAAGAUCCCUGAAAGAUGAUCAGGUUGAUAGGUCUGAGGUGGAAGUGUGGCGACACAUGGAGCUGACAGAUACUAAUCGAUCGAGGACUUAACCAA
rnacentral:rRNA from 1 species